rnacentral:rRNA from 1 species
ACNCCGGCAACGGUGAACUCAAAGGAAUUGACGGGGGCCCGCACAAGCGGANGANCAUGUGGUUUAAUUCGAUGAUACGCGAGGANCCUUACCUGGGCUUAAAUNGCAGUGGAAUAACGUGGAANCAUGUUAGCCUUCGGGCCGCUGUGAAGGUGCCGCAUGGUUGUCGUCAGCUCGUGCCGUGAGGUGUCGGCUUAAGUGCCAUAACGAGCGCAACCCUCAUCGAUAGUUACUAACAGGUUAAGCUGAGGACUCUAUCGAGACUGCCGACGUAAGUCGUGAGGAAGGUGGGGAUGACGUCAAAUCAGCACGGCCCUUACGUCCAGGGCUACACACGUGUUACAAUGGGGGGUACAAAGGGCAGCUACCUGGCGACAGGAUGCUAAUCUCAAAAACCUCUCUCAGUUCGGAUUGGAGUCUGCAACUCGACUCCAUGAAGCUGGAUUCGCUAGUAAUCGCGCAUCAGCCAUGGCGCGGUGAAUACGUUCCCGGGCCUUGUACACACCGCCCGUCAAGCCAUGGAAGCUGGGGGUACCUGAAGUAUGCAACCGCAAGGAGCGUCCUAGGGUAAAACCGGUAACUGGGGCU